AGAGAGAGACAUGCGCGCAUAUCAAUAAGCGGAGGAAAAGAAACUAACAAGGAUUCCCCUAGUAACGGCGAGUGAAGCGGGAAGAGCUCAAAUUUGAAAUCUUAAAGGGUUUCCCUUUACGAAUUGUAGUUUAAAGAAGUGUUUUCUGUUGAGGUUUUGGUAAAAGUUCUUUGGAAUAGGACAUCAUAGAGGGUGAGAAUCCCGUAUUUGACCUUUACUUUCAACUUUGUGAUACACUUUCAAAGAGUCGGAUUGUUUGGGAAUGCAGUCCAAAAUGGGUGGUAAAUUUCAUCUAAAGCUAAAUAUUGGCGAGAGACCGAUAGCGAACAAGUACCGUGAGGGAAAGAUGAAAAGAACUUUGAAAAGAGAGUUAAACAGUACGUGAAAUUGUCAAAAGGGAAGCGUUUGACACCAGUGUUGUUUUUCUGAAAAUCAAUUAAAGAACUGUUUAUGCUAAGUUGUUUAGACUUUAUCAGCUAACUGUUUAGUUUUGAGCUUUUCUUUAAUGCACUUUUCAGUUAACAAGUCAACAUCAAUUUCUUUUGCUGUAAAAAAGCUUGAGGAAGGUGGCUUGAGAUUCGUCUUAAGUGUUUAUAGCCUCUUGCCUAUGCAGUCGGAGAGAUUGAGGUCUGCAGCGUAGAUCCUUCGGGGGCUAAAUGCAUUUGUGCUAAGUUAUAGCAUUUUAUAGACAACUUGUUGACUAUGAUUUGUCUUGUAGCUUACUCGCUUAUGUUAUUUUACCUACGCUUAGGAUGUUGAGCGCAUGUCUCUCUCU
rnacentral:rRNA from 1 species